GAAUAUUGGACAAUGGGGGGAACCCUGAUCCAGCCAUGCCGCGUGUGUGAAGAAGGCCUUUUGGUUGUAAAGCACUUUAAGCGAGGAGGAGGAGCUCUUGGUUAAUACCCAAGAUGCUUGGAAGUUACUCGACGAAUAAGCACCGGCUCCAGCUUUGCCAGCACGCGCGGUAAGACAGAGGGUGCAAGCGUUAAUCGGAUUUACUGGGCGUAAAUCGCUCGUGUGUGGCCAAUUAAGUCAAAUGUGAAAUCCCCGAGCUUAACUUGUGAAUUGCAUUCGAUACUGGUUGGCUAGAGUAUGGGAGAGGAUGGUAGAAUUCCAGGUGUAGCGGUGAAAUGCGUAGAGAUCUGGAGGAAUACCGAUGGCGAAGGCAGCCAUCUGGCCUAAUACUGACACUGAGGUGCGAAAGCAUGGGGAGCAAACA
rnacentral:rRNA from 1 species